UACGUAGGUGGCAAGCGUUGUCCGGAUUUACUGGGCGUAAAGAGCUCGUAGGCGGUUUGUCGCGUCUGCCGUGAAAGUCCGGGGCUCAACUCCGGAUCUGCGGUGGGUACGGGCAGACUAGAGUGAUGUAGGGGAGACUGGAAUUCCUGGUGUAGCGGUGAAAUGCGCAGAUAUCAGGAGGAACACCGAUGGCGAAGGCAGGUCUCUGGGCAUUAACUGACGCUGAGGAGCGAAAGCAUGGGGAGCGAACAGG
rnacentral:rRNA from 1 species